AGGCGAGUCAGAGAACUGAACAGCAGCAACACGAAAAAGUUCCUGGAAGAGAGAAAAAGGCUGGCAAUGAAGCAGUCAAAGGAAAUGGAUCAGUUGAAAAAAGUUCAACUUGAGCACUUAGAAGUCUUGGAGAAGCAGAAUGAGCAGCUUUUGAAAUCCUGUCAUGCAGUGUCUCAAACACAAGGCAAAGGAGAUGCAGCAGAUGGUGAAGCUGGAAGCAGAGAUGGAUCGCAGGCCAGCAACAGUGGUUUAAAGCCUCAACAAGCAAAUUGAAGUUGGAGAGCACAGCAUCCUUAAAAUGAGAGCAAAAUUCAAAAUAACAUUGCUGAGGUUGAGGAGUGGGCUUUUGGUUUGGUUUGGUUUUGGCAGGGGUUUGUUUUGGGUUUUUUUGUUCUUAAUGUAUCAAGUGUAGCUACGGACACCAAGUCUUAAGGUUUGCAUUGUUUCUUUUUUAACACUGGGCACUGAAUUUCCUUUGUUGGAUUUCCAUAAGAAUUUCCUUUGUUCAGAAAAAACCCAACCCGAAGAUUAAGAGAGUUUUUUUAAACCCUGUCCAGUUUUCCUUUCUGCAUCUCACCAGGCACCUUGCCUGCAUCAGAAUCACACGAUCAGAGCCUCGAAAUGCAGGAGAUACCUUUAACAUCAUCUCAGAUGGCAGCAAAUUCGAGUGGUGUAAUUUCCCAUUUGCUCUCACGUGUGAUGUGCUCUGCAGAAACCCCACGCUGCCAGACCCCGCCAUGCCACCACGCCUUGUCAGAUGCUCGGCACCUGAUGUCCCUGAGCCCGCUGAACCGGACCUUAUGCCAAGUAAUAAUUAGGAUAGUAAGGGGCUGAGUUUGGGUGAUUUUAAAUUAUGCUUCUAGUGGGUUUUUUUUCAGGCAGUUGAAAGGUAACUGCGUCCAUUCAAAAGUACAACGUGUACAAAGUCAUCGGCCAAAUUCAUCAGCUGCAGCGGUAACUUGACAGGGUAUUUCUGUAGCCUAAUGAUGUCAUUCACAAGUGCCAUAUCAACUCUAUCAUGUCUGAGAGGAGCCAGUAUCCUGUAGAAGUUACUGCAGUGGAUAACCUGAGGGAAAUACAGUGUAUUUGUGCCAAAACUGAUCAGUGCUCUAAGGAAUUACGUAUUAGGCACUUUAAGAAAAGUUUACAUCCUACGUUGCUUGUAUAGAAAUUGCAUUUUGAUCCUGUUGCUGCAGAUCCCGGAUUCUACCGUUCGUUGUAACUUAAAAGAUUGUUUAAAUGGCUUUUGGCAAAAAGUUUGUAACUGUGAAAAUGUAAAAAGUAUUUAUACACUUGGGAAACACAACAUUGUAGAAAAUCACAUACAUGUUGCUACGUGAUAAAGUUAGUAAACAGAAGUGCUAAGAGUAUGUUUGCAUGUGAUAAAAAUGCUACUAAGGCUGUAACGCCUACUAUAUGACCACAGUCAUGCUACUAGCUGGUAAAUACUGAGUAAAUGUAUGGCACAGAAUAUUGUUUGAUUAAUUACAAAGACUUUUAGCAUUACAAGGUCUCUAUAUAUAUGUGUGUAUAUUAAUUACGUGGGCAUUCUUGAUACUUGUAGUAAAAGAGAAGUACAUAACUAAUUUAAUUUUACACAGAAGUAUUUAUGCAGAUUUUCAGAAUUUCAUAUCAGGAAUAACCUUUUUAUGUCCAUUAGAUAUAAAACCAAUUUGCUAAUGUGUUAAUUUGCAUGUUUCCAGAGCUUGCUGUAGUUAUAUUGCAAAACAAUGCAUGUAAGCAUUCGGCUUGAAUUUGUCCAUGCUGCCAAUUCAAAGAUGACUGCAUGGAAAACUGGUAGUUUAGAACAAAUCAGAUUUCUGAUUUCAGUGUACUAAGCACCAAUUACUUUGUUGUAUAUGCUUGUACAAACAAAUUCUACAUAUUCCUAUAAACAAAAUAAAUGAAGAGAGAUAAUUAUGUUAUUGUCAGUCCUGAGAUGAAACUUUCAACUUCUCUAAUAAAAACCUUAAAAAUUCAAA